UUCGAGGAAGUAAAAAUAGGAAAAUUUGCACCAGUAUUUAUAGUGGUUCGACUUCUCAACCAAGUCUGCAUCCACUACCUUAUCUCAUCACUAAGGAUUUU